GACGAACGCUGGCGGCGUGCCUAAUACAUGCAAGUAGAACGCUGAAGAGAGGAGCUUGCUCUUCUUGGAUGAGUUGCGAACGGGUGAGUAACGCGUAGGUAACCUGCCUUGUAGCGGGGGAUAACUAUUGGAAACGAUAGCUAAUACCGCAUAACAAUGGAUGACACAUGUCACUUAUUUUAAAGGGGCAAUUGCUCCACUACAAGAUGGACCUGCGUUGUAUUAGCUAGUAGGUGAGGUAAUGGCUCACCUAGGCGACGAUACAUAGCCGACCUGAGAGGGUGAUCGGCCACACUGGGACUGAGACACGGCCCAGACUCCUACGGGAGGCAGCAGUAGGGAAUCUUCGGCAAUGGGGGCAACCCUGACCGAGCGACGCCGCGUGAGUGAAGAAGGUUUUCGGAUCGUAAAGCUCUGUUGUAAGUCAAGAACGGGUGUGAGAGUGGAAAGUUCACACUGUGACGGUAGCUUACCAGAAAGGGACGGCUAACUACGUG
rnacentral:rRNA from 1 species